AUUGAACGCUGGCGGCAGGCUUAACACAUGCAAGUCGAACGAGUGGCGGACGGGUGGGUAGUGGUUUGGCAUCUAGCUAAUGGAGGCGUAUGACUACGAGAAACUUUAGCUAAUGCCGCUUACGAUAGGUUGGGGCCACGUGGGAUUAGGUAGUUGGUGAGGUAAAGGCUCACCAAGGCGACGAGCUCUAGCUGGUCUGAGAGGAUGACCAGCCACACUGGGACUGAGACACGGCCCAGACUCCUACGGGAGGCAGCAGUGGGGAAUAUUGCGCAAUGGGGGCAACCUGACGCAGCCAUGCCGCGUGAAUGAAGAAGGCCUUCGGGUUGUAAAGUUCUUUCGGUAGCGAGGCGUUAACUACAGAAGAAGCAACGGCUAACUCCGUGCCAGCAGCCGCGGUAAUUC
rnacentral:rRNA from 1 species